UGCCUAAGCAAUGAACUCAAGUGCUUGAGAGAUAAGGUUUCAUGAUCCACCACCAAGAUAUGAAGAUUUUUGGCAAAACUAGGGAGAGAAUCAGGGACCCAAUGAUUCAUAUCCUGCAACAUUUCCUUUGGAGAGUUUGAGAGAAAGGAGAUUAAACUUCUAGAUUUGAGAGAAACUAAGAGGACAAAUUUUAGGGGAGAGAGAUGAACAACCCGAGAAAGAGCAGAGACAAAGUUAAAAGCUUAACAUGCAGAGACAAAACACACAGAAAAAGGAGAGAGAGUUAG